ACACAGGGAGGUAGUGACAAGAAAUAACAAUACGGGGCUCAACGCCUUGUAAUUGGAAUGAUGGGAACCUUAAACCCCUUCCAGAGUAUCAAUUGGAGGGCAAGUCUAGGUGCCAGCAGCCGCGGUAAUUCCAGCUCCAAUAGCGUAUAUUAAAAUUGUUGCAGUUAAAAAGCUCGUAGUUGAAUUUCUGCCGCAUCGCGGCGGCCCUCCCGGGCCCAGCGUGCGGCUUAUUUCGGACUCGCUUGCGUCUCCGAAUGUUA
rnacentral:rRNA from 1 species